GCUUUACUGUAGCCUGGAAUUGUGUUCGGGCUUCGCUUGCGCAGGAUAGGUGGGAGGCAUAGAAGUACCCCUUGUGGGGGGUAUGGAGCCAACGGUGAGAUACCACUCUGGCGAGGCUAGGAUUCUAACCUUAACCCGUAAUCCGGGAAAGGAACAGUGUCAGGCAGACAGUUUGACUGGGGCAGAGUCGCCUCCUAAAAGAGUAAUCGGAGGCGUGCAAAGGUUCCCUCAGGCUGGACGUGGAAAUCAGCUUAGAGAGUGUAAAGGCAGAAGGGAGCUUGACUGCAAGAGUGACAACAGUCGAGCAGGGACGAAAGUCGGCCUUAGUGAUCCGACGGCACUGCGAGUGGAAGGGCCGUCGCUUCAUCGGAUAAAAGUUA
rnacentral:rRNA from 1 species